GGGCAAGGAAGGGGGCAAGGAAGGGAAAAAUGUAAAGGGUGAAAAAGAGAAUCACAAAGAAAUGCAAAGAGAACUAGCUUGAAAAGGGCAGGAGUGGAAAAAGAACAACAAACGAAAAAAAACAGUAGAAGGAAAAAUGAAAGGAGCAGUAAAGAAAAACAAAAUGGAAAGGGGAAAGAAACAAAGCAAAACUAGAAGGCAUAGCAAAACAAUGAAAUACCAAGGAAAAGAAAAAACAGAAUGGGGUAUCAUGGCAAAGCAAAGGACUCAAAGAAAUUCAACAAGAAAAAACUGCCAUCCAAAAUUGUUCCAAGAAAAAAAAUAAUGAUUAUAAGGAUACAAACAAAGCCACGGAAAGAAAAGCAAACAAGCAAAGAAGAAAGGAAACCAAAGCAAAGCGAGAAAGCCAUGAAGCCAUGCAAAGCAAUGCAAAGCAAAGGUAUGAAAGGAAAACCAAAGAGCAAAGCAAAGCAACAGAAAAAACAAUAAGAAGAAAAAAAAGGGACUGAAAAGGAAAGGAAACUAACGAUAAGUCAUUCGAUAAGAAGAGAAAGGGGAAGGAAAAAAAGGAAUGCAAAGAAAUGAACUGGAAGGAAGAAAACCACAUUAAGGAAAUUAACAAUGGAAAGCAAAGCAAAACGAGCAGUACAGAAAUCUGAAUUAGAAUUAGAAGGCAGAGCAAAGCAAAGCAAGUAAGGGCAAGGCUAGAGGAAGGAGACAGGCAAGGGGACAAGGAUACGGGCAAGGAAAAGAAGGCAAAGAAGAAUGCAAUUACAAAACAAAUAGGAAACUGAAAGCAGAGCACAGAAAAACCACUGGAAAAGAGAAGAAAAU
ensembl:lncRNA